CACUCCUAAUCCUCAUCGAGUUUACUACCGCUAGAGUUAACAAGCACGGAAAAUCAAGGGAAAUCUGGGAAUGAGGCUAGCAACCGCACUCAGGAUGUUUUUGAUCAGCACAGAAGCAGCUCUGUGGGAUGAACCAAAAGUGCGGUCAAGAUACCUCAUGAGAUACCACAAAAGGUGUUGGUUGGUCCAGAUAGCAGGACGGUAGCCACAGAAAUAGAAAACCGCUAAGGAGUAUUUAACAACUGUCUAACAGAAUCAACCUGCCCUGAAAAUGAGUGGCACUCGAGCCUUGGAUCUAUGCCGUCGUACCGUUGCUGCAGGUUACGCCUGUGCAGGCUGAAAGCAAACUGACUUGGUCCAACCAUGGAAUAGCAGUAACGAGUAAGAGGGUCGUCAUGAUUGGCGAGAAGACUCAGGCGUAAGCCUAUGUAAAGCAACCAUAGGUU
rnacentral:ncRNA from 1 species